GAUGAAGAACGUAGCGAAAUGCGAUAAGUAAUGUGAAUUGCAGAAUUCAGUGAAUCAUCGAAUCUUUGAACGCGCAUUGCGCCCGCCAGCAUUCUGGCGGGCAUGCCUGUUCGAGCGUCAUUUCAACCCUCGAGCCCCCCCGGGGGCCUCGGUGUUGGGGGACGGCACACCAGCCGCCCCCGAAAUGCAGUGGCGACCCCGCCGCAGCCUCCCCUGCGUAGUAGCACACACCUCGCACCGGAGCGCGGAGGCGGUCACGCCGUAAAACGCCCAACUUUCUUAGAGUUGACCUCGGAUCAGGUAGGAAUACCCGCUGAACUUAAGCAUAUCAAUAGCGGAGGA
rnacentral:misc_RNA from 1 species